AAGAGACAGCAGCAGCCGCGGUAAUACAGAGGGUGCGAGCGUUAAUCGGAUUUACUGGGCGUAAAGCGUGCGUAGGCGGCUUUUUAAGUCGGAUGUGAAAUCCCUGAGCUUAACUUAGGAAUUGCAUUCGAUACUGGGAAGCUAGAGUAUGGGAGAGGAUGGUAGAAUUCCAGGUGUAGCGGUGAAAUGCGUAGAGAUCUGGAGGAAUACCGAUGGCGAAGGCAGCCAUCUGGCCUAAUACUGACGCUGAGGUACGAAAGCAUGGGGAGCAAACAGGAUUAGAUACCCCCGUAGUCCCUGUCUCUUAUAC
rnacentral:rRNA from 1 species